CCUACGGGUGGCAGCAGUGAGGAAUAUUGGUCAAUGGACGGAAGCCUGAACCAGCCAAGUAGCGUGCGGGAUGAAGGCCCUACGGGUCGUAAACCGCUUUUGCACGGGGAUAACACCCUCCACUUGUGGAUUUCUGCAGGUACCGUGCGAAUAAGGGCCGGCUAAUUCCGUGCCAGCAGCCGCGGUAAUACGGAAGGCCCGAGCGUUAUCCGGAUUCAUUGGGCUUAAAGGGAGCGUAGGCGGGCGUGCAAGUCAGCGGUAAAAUCGCGCGGCUCAACCGCGCCCCGCAGUUGAAACUGGACGACUUGAGUGCACAACAGGCAGGCGGAAUGCGUGGUGUAGCGGUGAAAUGCAUAGAUAUCACGCGGAACCCCGAUUGCGAAGGCAGCCUGCCGGGGUGCGACUGACGCUGAGGCUCGAAGGUGCGGGUAUCAAACAGGAUUAGAUACCCUUGUAGUC
rnacentral:rRNA from 1 species